AAGAGCCCGUUGCGGGAAAACCGCACGGCGGGUUCUGUGAGGGGCUGAGGUCCAACUGGAUAAGGUGAACAUAUUGUGGCACCACCGAGAAAUCAGGUGGCAAACAGAGAAUACAAACCUUCACCUGAAAUCCAGAAGACCUCAGUCUACUCGAC
rnacentral:ncRNA from 1 species